GAUGAACGCUAGCGGGAGGCUUAAUACAUGCAAGUCGAACGGUAACAGUCCGAACCUAGUUUGGAGCUGACGAGUGGCGCACGGGUGAGUAACGCGUACGUACCUGCCUUAUACUGAGGGACACACACUGGAAACGGAGUAAAUACCUCAUAGUAUCAUACUGGUUAUGAUUAAAGUUUCGGCGGUAUAAGAUGGACGUGCGUUAGAUUAGAUAGUUGGUGAGGUAACGGCUCACCAAGUCGACGAUCUAUAGGGGGCGUGAGAGCGUGAUCCCCCACACGGGUACUGAGACACGGACCCGACUCCUACGGGAGGCAGCAGUAAGGAAUAUUGGACAAUGGGCGAAAGCCUGAUCCAGCCAUCCCGCGUGCAGGAUGACGGCGCUCAGCGUUGUAAACUGCUUUUAUGUGAGAAGAAACGCUUUCAUUUAUGAGAGCCUGACGGUAUCACAAGAAUAAGCACCGGCUAACUCCG
rnacentral:rRNA from 1 species